rnacentral:rRNA from 1 species
CUUUGGUUCUAUUUUGUUGGUUUCUGGAACUGAAGUAAUGAUUAAUAGGGAUAGUUGGGGGCAUUAGUAUUCCAUUGUCAGAGGUGAAAUUCUUAGAUUUAUGGAAGACUAACUACUGCGAAAGCAUUUGCCAAGGAUGUUUUCAUUAAUCAAGAACGAAAGUUUGGGGAUCGAAGACGAUCAGAUACCGUCGUAGUCCAAACCAUAAACUAUGCCGACUAGGGAUUGGAGGACGUCAAUUUAACUCCUUCAGCACCUUAUGAGAAAUCAAAGUUUUUGGGUUCCGGGGGGAGUAUGGUCGCAAGGCUGAAACUUGAAGGAAUUGACGGAAGGGCACCACCAUGGAGUGGAGCUUGCGGCUUAAUUCAACUCAACACGGGGAAACUCACC